rnacentral:rRNA from 1 species
UACGUAGGUGGCAAGCGUUUUCCGGAAUUAUUGGGCGUAAAGCGCGCGCAGGCGGUCCCUUAAGUCUGAUGUGAAAGCCCACGUCUCAACCGUGGAGGGUCAUUGGAAACUGGGGGACUUGAGUGCAGAAGAGGAAAGUGGAAUUCCAUGUGUAGCGGUGAAAUGCGUAGAGAUGUGGAGGAACACCAGUGGCGAAGGCGACUUUCUGGUCUGUAACUGACGCUGAGGCGCGAAAGCGUGGGGAGCAAACAGG